UACGUAGGGUGCAAGCGUUGUCCGGAGUUAUUGGGCGUAAAGAGCUCGUAGGCGGUCUGUCACGUCGGCUGUGAAAACCCGAGGCUCAACCUCGGGCCUGCAGUCGAUACGGGCAAACUAGAGUACUGCAGGGGAGACUGGAAUUCCUGGUGUAGCGGUGAAAUGCGCAGAUAUCAGGAGGAACACCGGUGGCGAAGGCGGGUCUCUGGGCAGUAACUGACGCUGAGGAGCGAAAGCGUGGGGAGCGAACAGG
rnacentral:rRNA from 1 species